rnacentral:rRNA from 1 species
AUUGAACGCUGGCGGUAUGCCUAACACAUGCAAGUCGAGCGAGUUGUAGCAAUACAGCUAGCGGCGGACGGGUGAGGAAUACAUAGGAAUUUGCCUUUAGGUGGGGGAUAGCCCAGGGAAACUUGGAGUAAUACCGCAUGAUCUCGUGAGAGCAAAGCCGGGGACCGCAAGGCCUGGCGCCUUUAGAGAAGCCUAUGUCGGAUUAGCUAGUUGGUGAGGUAAUGGCUCACCAAGGCGACGAUCCGUAACUGGUCUGAGAGGACGAUCAGUCACACUGGAACUGAGACACGGUCCAGACUCCUACGGGAGGCAGCAGUGGGGAAUAUUGGACAAUGGGCGAAAGCCUGAUCCAGCAAUACCGCGUGUGUGAAGAAGGCCUCG